UACGUAGGGGGCGAGCGUUGUCCGGAAUCAUUGGGCGUAAAGCGCGUGUAGGCGGCUUGUCGCGUCGGCUGUGAAAUCCCGUGGCUCAACUGUGGGCGGGCAGCUGAUACUGGCAGGCUGGAGUUCGGUAGGGGAGACUGGAAUUCCUGGUGUAGCGGUGAAAUGCGCAGAUAUCAGGAGGAACACCGACGGCGAAGGCAGCACUCUGGGCCGGUACUGACGCUGAGGAGCGAAAGCAUGGGGAGCGAACAGG
rnacentral:rRNA from 1 species